GAUAUACUCCCUCCGUUCGGAAUUACUUGUCUCGGAAAUGGAUGUAUCUAGAACUAAAAUACAUCUAGAUACAUACAUUUCUGCGACAAAUAAUUCCGAACGGAGGGAGUAGAUG
rnacentral:pre_miRNA from 1 species